UGGGGAAUAUUGGGCAAUGGGCGGAAGCCUGACCCAGCAACGCCGCGUGAAGGAAGAAGGCCCUCGGGUUGUAAACUUCUUUUGUCAGGGACGAAACAAAUGACGGUACCUGACGAAUAAGCCACGGCUAACUACGUGCCAGCAGCCGCGGUAAUACGUAGGUGGCAAGCGUUAUCCGGAUUUACUGGGUGUAAAGGGCGUGUAGGCGGGAGAGCAAGUCAGAUGUGAAAUUCCAGGGCUCAACCCUGGAACUGCAUUUGAAACUGUUUUUCUUGAGUGAUGGAGAGGCAGGCGGAAUUCCGUGUGUAGCGGUGAAAUGCGUAGAUAUACGGAGGAACACCAGUGGCGAAGGCGGCCUGCUGGACAUUAACUGACGCUGAGGCGCGAAAGCGUGGGGAGCAAACAGGAUUAGAUACCC
rnacentral:rRNA from 1 species